AGGACGAACGCUGGCGGCGUGCUUAAUACAUGCAAGUCGAGCGACGAAACCAGAGUGCUUGCACUCUGGCUGAAAGCGGCGAACGGGUGAGUAACACGUGGGCAACGUGCCCUGGACACUGGGAUAACAACGGGAAACCGUUGCUAAUACCGGAUGAUCCCUGCAGAUCGCAUGAUCAGCAGGGCAAAGCUCCGGCGGUCGUGGGAGUCGGCCCGCGGUGUAUCAGCUUGUUGGUGGGGUAACGGCCUACCAAGGCGAUGACGCAUAGCUGGCUGAGAGCGCGACCAGCCACACUGGGACUGAGACACGGCCAAGACUACUACGGAGGCGAGACAGAGGGAAUCGUGUCACAAU
rnacentral:rRNA from 1 species